GUCCAAUCAGCGCUCAGAUGCGAACUGCUCGACGCUCAUUGGUUCGUUAAGGAGGAAGAUGCUAAGUCCGCCGUGAACAGACCCUCCGAAUGAUCCCGGAGAUUUGAUCAAUUACCCGAAAAUCCGGACGUUUCCGCGCAUAUUAUGACGUAUGUGCUGGAUUUUUAAUUGAACUGAUUGAUUUUUUUUGCUUUUGUUUCUGUGCUGUCGGAUCUUCUGACGGUAUGUGGGCCCGAUUCGCGUCUUUAAAGACACACCUUACACAAUGUAGCUUCGUGGUUAUUGUUAAUAAAGGUAAGUUAAUAUUAAAAUUAAAUAAAAAUAAUAAACAAAGCGGGUUAACCAUAACCAAGCCUCAUUGUGUGCAUCUUAUUUGUGCUUUAAUUUUUGUAAUAAUCCAUCCCUGCUUUGGGGGGGCCUUAUUUCAGGUUAUGGAAGUCUGCACACAGAUCUGUUUGUAUACUUUUCUAUGAUUUGAAGGAUAAUGAUGAUUCCCAUCAUUGUGUUAGCUUUGAAUUGGCUUUUCUUUGCGACAGCAGCAGUCUGAGGCUCGAUCAGCUGCUCUUUCUGCAGGUGCUGCUGUGUAGACGAUGCACGAGCGAUGUCUGAUGUGGAGGCCGCGUACGCAGACUUCAUCGCCUCGGGCAGGACGGGCCGCAGGAACGCGCUGCAUGACAUCCUGCAGAGUCCCACCGACGCAGAGGGAGGCCAGCUGCCCCUCAGCCUGUCCCUGUCCCGCCUGCACAUCAAUGCAGGAGGAGCAGAUGCAGACAGUAUGGAGGACGAGCAGAGCUCCUCGUUUUCGGCCCAGAGGGAGGCAGAGCAGAGGAACAGCUAACCUGCCCCGCCCUUUGCCCGGCGGAGCGGCAGGACGGCUGGCAGGAAGUGCCGCGGUGAAUUCCUGCGUCCGAACCUCGCAGCUGAAGGAUAGAGCCGACACUGCUCAUACGCCUUUGAGCACAACCAUCUGGUCUUCCAGGUCUCUAGAAUAG
rnacentral:lncRNA from 1 species